AUGGCCGCAGUAACGAGGCCACAGCUGGAAGCGCGGGCGCGGGAGCUCGGGGUCGACCUCACCGCCGUCGACCUGGACUCCAUCACUCUCCCCGCCGACGCCGGCGACUUUCCCUGCAGCAACGAUGAUGAUGAUGAUGAUGAUGAUGAGGUACUGCUACUUGAGAGCGAUGUUGGCCCUCCUCCGGAGCUCGAGACAGGUUUCGGGAACGUGAUCAUUGUCGACAAUCUGCCAAUUGUUCCGGCGGAGAAAUUCGAGAGGCUGCAGUGUGUCAUGCGCGCAAUCUAUGGCCAAAUUGGUGUCAUCAAGGAAGGCGGUCUAUGGAUUCCUAUACUCUACACCACCUACGGCUACUGCUUCAUCGAAUACGCUACUCCUAAGGAAGCAGAGCUUGCGAGGCGAAAAACCAACCUUUAUGCGCUGGACAGGUUUCACAAGUUCCAGGUUAACAUGUUCGAUGACUUUGACAAGUACAUCAAAGUCCCUGACCAAUGGACGCUUCCUGAUGAAAUCAAGCAAUACACACCUGCGCCUAACUUGCACAAGUGGCUAAUGGAUGGGAAGGCGAGAGACCAGUUUGUCAUCCGUGUCGGUACGUCUACCGAGGUGUACUGGAAUGAUGUUGUGCCUGAACUUGCCUACCAAAAGCAGCGAUGGACCGAUAGUUUUGUUGAGUGGUCUCCUCUUGGUACAUACUUGGCGACGGUGCAUAGGCAAGGUGCACAGGUCGUUAGUGGUUGCAAAAUGUAUUGGCAAAACAAUGGAGAGUAUCUUGCCGUCCAGGUAGAUCGGCACGCAGAAGCGGAGAGGAGAACUUGUUGCACUAGUUUGGAGCUGUUCAGGAUCAAGGAGAGGGGCAUCCCGAGGGAGGUCUUUGAAUUGGACAAGAAGAAUGACAACAUAGUUGCCUUUGCGUGGGAGCCAAGAGGCAGCCGGUUUGCUGUUAUCCACAGCGAUGGGUUUAAGCAUGACAUAAGCUUCUACUCGAUGCACUCAGCCGACGAUGUUAGCCGUGUGUCGAAGCUCACAACACUCAAGGACAGGCAAGCUGAUGCACUGUUCUGGUCUCCUGCGGGGAAUUGUACGUACAAUGUGGAUGAUCUUGAGACCAUGGCCACAAGAGAGCAUCCUAUGGCGACUGAUGUCAUGUGGGAUCCCACUGGAAGAUUCAUCGCAACUGCAUCACUCGGCCAUGAGAUGGGAAACGAUAUUCGAGUUUGGUCUUUUACUGGCAAGCAGAUUUACAAGGCGUCCAAGGAACAGUUUUCCCAGUUCCAAUGGCGCCCAAGGCCACCUUCACUUCUUACUCCUGCGAAGGAGAUGGAAAUCUCAACUCAACCUACAGAGAAGGCUGAGUUGCUGGUAAGUGCAAGUAGCUGA
rnacentral:rRNA from 1 species